rnacentral:piRNA from 1 species
UACAAGACUGGCUCAGG